rnacentral:rRNA from 1 species
UACCAGCACCCCGAGUGGUCGGGACGAUUAUUGGGCCUAAAGCAUCCGUAGCCGGUUCUACAAGUCUUCCGUUAAAUCCACCUGCUUAACAGAUGGGCUACGGAGGAUACUAUAGAGCUAGGAGGCGGGAGAGGCAAGCGGUACUUAGUGGGUAGGGGUAAAAUCCGUUGAUCCAUUGAAGACCACCAGUGGCGAAGGCGGCUUGCCAGAACGCACUCGACGGUGAGGGAUGAAAGCUGGGGGAGCAAACCGGG